CAUCACCUCUAGCAUAUCAAGUAUUAGAGGCACUGCCUGCCCAGUGACUAACGUUAAACGGCCGCGGUAUCCUGACCGUGCAAAGGUAGCAUAAUCACUUGUUCCUUAAUUAGGGACUAGAAUGAAUGGCUUGACGAGGGUUCAACUGUCUCUUAUUUCCAAUCAGUGAAAUUGACCCUCCCGUGAAGAGGCGGGAAUAAAAAAAUAAGACGAGAAGACCCUAUGGAGCUUUAAUUUCUAACUUAACUUUUAAAAUCACAUACCUAAUGGACCAAAAGACAUAAAAACUUAAGUUAAAAUUUCGGUUGGGGUGACCUCGGAGAAUAAAAAAACCUCCGAAUAAUUUUAGCCAAGACAUACAAGUCCAAGCAUUUUAAAUUUAAUUGACCCAAAACCUUUUUUGAUCAACGGACCAAGUUACCCUAGGGAUAACAGCGCAAUCCUAUUCAAGAGUCCAUAUCGACAAUUAGGGUUUACGACCUCGAUGUUGGAUCAGGACAUCCCAAUGGUGUAGAAGCUAUUAAUGGUUCGUUUGUUCAACGAUUAAAGUCCUACGUGAUCA
rnacentral:rRNA from 1 species